rnacentral:misc_RNA from 1 species
GUGCAAUGGCAAUGCUGCCGGACAAGAAAAGUGAAAAAUAUAAGAGAUGGCAUUGCUCAAUCACAAAGCCGACUCCACAUAUGACAUAUGAUAAAACUAACAUCAAAUGUCAUAAUAUCAGAUGGACACAAACAGGCCAACCAAUUACAGGGAUAAUUAGUUUUACAUUGGAGAAAUUCCUGCAUAGUGAGCAUGGAUUUCAGGAUGAAAUUCUACACCAUUUAAUCCAUUUUCGGUUUGAAUAAAACCAAUGCAAACCUAAUACAAACAAGUUUAAGCCAACUGAGCUUUAGAUACGAAAGGUUCUAUCAGGAACAAAUUCUUAAAAAUGUUUUAUUUAGCAAUUAAUGGUCAUAAAGACCCUUUUUCUAUUAUUAAGUGAAAUUGUUUACUGCUAACCUGGGG